rnacentral:rRNA from 1 species
GAUGAACGCUGGCGGUAUGCUUAACACAUGCAAGUCGAACGGACUCUUCGGAGUUAGUGGCGGACGGGUGAGUAACGCGUGAGAAUCUGGCUUUGGGUUCGGGACAACCACUGGAAACGGUGGCUAAUACCGGAUGUGCCGAGAGGUAAAAGAGAAAUUGCCUGAAGAUGAGCUCGCGUCUGAUUAGCUAGUUGGUGAGGUAAAGGCUCACCAAGGCAGCGAUCAGUAGCUGGUCUGAGAGGAUGACCAGCCACACUGGGACUGAGACACGGCCCAGACUCCUACGGGAGGCAGCAGUGGAGAAUUAUCCGCAAAGGGCGAAAGCCUGACGGAGCAAUACCGCGUGAGGGAAGAAGGCUCUUGGGUUGUAAACCUCUUUUCUUAGGGAAGAACAAAAUGACGGUACCUAAGGAAUCAGCAUCGGCUAACUCCGUG